rnacentral:misc_RNA from 1 species
GUUGCAAGUCUUUGAGAGUAAACUGAGAAUCAAAAAUACAGAAAGGAUAAUUUUAUUUCAGGAGAAAGAAAUGAAAAUCAAUCUCUUUAAGAAAUCAUCUUAACUGGAUACAAGGCCUAACGUCAAAUAAUACAGAAUACAGUUCUCAUAAAAACUUCAACAAGCAAAACUGUCGUACAGAAUGAUACCAAAACUACCAUUCAUUACAGAGCUGCUGUUACCAUGCAGUAACAGCACAGGGAAGGGUAGUUUUUUUCCUUAUUCACCUCAGCCUUUUUUGCUCAGCAGCAUUUUGUACCGCACAUGAUCACCUCAUUCCCCUUUCCCGUUUU